UACGGGGGGGGUAAGCGUUGUUCGGAAUUACUGGGCGUAAAGGGCUCGUAGGCGGCCAACUAAGUCAUACGUGAAAUCCCUCAGCUUAACUGGGGAACUGCGUCUGAUACUGGAUGGCUUGGAUUCGGGAGAGGAAUGCGGAAUUCCAGGUGUAGCGGUGAAAUGCGUAGAUAUCUGGAGGAACACCGGUGGCGAAGGCGGGUCUCUGGGCCGAUACUGACGCUGAGGAGCGAAAGCGUGGGGAGCGAACAGG
rnacentral:rRNA from 1 species